rnacentral:rRNA from 1 species
GACGAACGCUGGCGGCGUGCUUAACACAUGCAAGUCGAGCGGUAAGGCCCUUUCGGGGGUACACGAGCGGCGAACGGGUGAGUAACACGUGGGUGACCUGCCCUCAGCUCUGGGAUAAGCCUGGGAAACCGGGUCUAAUACCGGAUAUGACUCCAUGACGCAUGUUGUGGGGUGGAAAGCCUUGUGCGGCUGAGGAUGGGCCCGCGGCCUAUCAGCUUGUUGGUGGGGUGAUGGCCUACCAAGGCGACGACGGGUAGCCGGCCUGAGAGGGCGACCGGCCACACUAGGACUGAGACACGGCCCAGACUCCUACGGGAGGCAGCAGUGGGGAAUCUUGCGCAAUGGGCGAAAGCCUGACGCAGCGACGCCGCGUGAGGGAUGACGGCCU